UACGUAGGGUGCAAGCGUUGUCCGGAAUUAUUGGGCGUAAAGAGCUCGUAGGCGGUUCGUCGCGUCGGCUGUGAAAACCCGAGGCUCAACCUCGGGCCUGCAGUCGAUACGGGCGGACUGGAGUUCGGCAGGGGAGACUGGAAUUCCUGGUGUAGCGGUGGAAAUGCGCAGAUAUCAGGAAGAACACCAAUGGCGAAGGCAGCUCUCUGGGACGGUACUGACGCUGAGACGCGAAAGCGUGGGGAGCGAACAGG
rnacentral:rRNA from 1 species